rnacentral:rRNA from 1 species
GGGUCAGUAGGUUGGCCAUGCCACUGGUAUGUACUGAUCUCACUGAUUCCUCCUUCCUGAUGAGCCGUAAUGCCAUUAAUUUGGUGUUGCGGGGAAUUUGGACUGUUACUUUGAAAAAAUUAGAGUGUUUAAAGCAAGCUAACGCUUGAAUACAUUAGCAUGGAAUAAUGAAAUAGGACGUUCGAUCCUAUUUCGUUGGUUUCUAGGAUCUCAGUA